ACUUAAUGCCGCUAUAUCAAUGCUGUAACGGGCUAGUUCUCGAGCAAUGAGAGCUGUCCUUCUCUCAGGUCUUGCAACAGCUUCUCAAUCCAUGAGGGUACGAACAUUCCAUACACCAAUGUGGAUGGUCUUGACGUCUUUCGUGCCUCGUCAAGCCCUUCGCUUUUCACAAAGCAUUGCAGAACCACCUUCUUGGCCAUUGGAUCUUAGUGAUCUCUUUUGCCCAGUCCGCUGGAGCUGAUGUCGCAUGCAUGGGUUCACUGCGAUGGGAUGUGACUCCAGCUCCCUUGAAGUAUCUAUGGGGUAUUUGGCGGUGAAGGUGGGAUCGCUGUCAAGGGUGACAUGCAGCUCCUUGAAGAAGCAGCAUGUCUGCAUCUCUGCACCACAGAAACUAUUUGCCUCCCUUGCCUUCUGGUAUGCCUGCCAGAGCUCCUUUAUUUUCACAUGGUACUGGUGCAUGUCCCUGUUGUACCCCUUCUCCUCCAUACCCUAAGCCAGUGGUCUCCAAAGUGGGGUGCACAAGAUGAUCCA